rnacentral:siRNA from 1 species
AAAUCAGUUAUAGUUUGUUUGAU